UUGCUUCCCCAGCACAUAUACUAAGAUUGGAACAAUACAGAGAAGAUUAGCAUCGCCCUUUGGCAAGGAUGACAUGCAAAUUCAUGAAACGUUCAAUUUUUUU